GCUCAGGAUGAACGCUGGCGGCGUGCCUAACACAUGCAAGUCGAGCGUGAUUCAUUGAAAUGAUACUUCGGUAGAAAUUUCAGUGAUGAAAGCGGCGGACGGGUGAGUAACGCGUAGGCAACCUGCCCUUUGCAGGGGGAUAGCCGUUGGAAACGACGAUUAAAACCCCAUAAUGCAGCCUGAUCUCCUGNNCGGGCUGCCAAAGAUUUAUCGGCAAAGGAUGGGCCUGCGUCUGAUUAGCUGGUUGGUGAGGUAACGGCCCACCAAGGCAACGAUCAGUAGCCGACCUGAGAGGGUGAUCGGCCACAUUGGAACUGAGACACGGUCCAAACUCCUACGGGAGGCAGCAGUGGGGAAUAUUGCACAAUGGGGGAAACCCUGAUGCAGCAACGCCGCGUGAAGGAUGAAGGUCUUCGGAUCGUAAACUUCUGUCCUUGGGGAAGAAAUCAAUGACGGUACCCUUGGAGGAAGCCCCGGCUAACUACGUGCCAGCAGCCGCGGUAAUACGUAGGGGGCGAGCGUUAUCCGGAAUUAUUGGGCGUAAAGAGUGCGUAGGUGGUUACCUAAGCGCAGGGUUUAAGGCAAUGGCUCAACUAUUGUUCGCCCUGCGAACUGGGCAACUUGAGUGCAGGAGAGGAAAGUGGAAUUCCUAGUGUAGCGGUGGAAUGCGUAGAUAUUAGGAGGAACACCAGUGGCGAAGGCGACUUUCUGGACUGUAACUGACACUGAGGCACGAAAGCGUGGGGAGCAAACAGGAUUAGAUACCCUGGUAGUCCACGCCGUAAACGAUGAGCACUAGGUGUUGGGCCCGCAAGGGUUCGGUGCCGCAGUUAACGCAUUAAGUGCUCCGCCUGGGGAGUACGCACGCAAGUGUAAAACUCAAAGGAAUUGACGGGGACCCGCACAAGCAGCGGAGCAUGUGGUUUAAUUCGAAGCAACGCGAAGAACCUUACCAGGACUUGACAUCCCCCUGACAGGUCUUUAAAAGGACCCUUCUUCGGACAGGGGAGACAGGUGGUGCAUGGUUGUCGUCAGCUCGUGUCGUGAGAUGUUGGGUUAAGUCCCGCAACGAGCGCAACCCUUGCCUUUAGUUGCCAUCAUUCAGUUGGGCACUCUAAAGGGACUGCCGGGGACAACUCGGAGGAAGGUGGGGAUGACGUCAAAUCAUCAUGCCCCUUAUGUUCUGGGCUACACACGUGCUACAAUGGCCGGUACAAAAGGUCGCUAACCCGUGAGGGGGAGCCAAUCCCAAAAGCCGGUCCCAGUUCGGACUGCAGGCUGCAACCCGCCUGCACGAAGUCGGAGUUGCUAGUAAUCGUGGAUCAGCAUGCCACGGUGAAUGCGUUCCCGGGUCUUGUACACACCGCCCGUCACACCAUGGAAGUUGGGGGUGCCCGAAGUCGGUCAAGUA
rnacentral:rRNA from 1 species